ACUACCCCAGACAGGCGGCUUUGGAAUCCAUCUGCUACAUCCAGCUCCCUGAGGCAGACGGAUAGAUGAGCUCUACCUGCCAAAGUUUUCCAUCUCGAGGGCCUUUAACCUGGAAAACAUACUUCUCCAGCUGGGCAUUGUGGAAGCCUUCACCAGCAAGGCUGACCUGUCAGGGAUCACAGGGGCCAGGAACCUAGUAGUCUCCCAGGUGAGUCUUUAGACCUGGGUCAAUUCAUCCUUUGUAUCCCAACUUGAAUUGGUGAAGGCCAGAUGGACUUUUGGGUACUCUUGAACUUGGGUUAAUGCACGUGCAUUUCUCAUUAUGUACUCACCCUGCUUGGGACACCCCCAAGCCAAGGAGAGCUAGGUUACAGCCCAGCUCCUCCUGCCGUGUUAGGGGUUGAUCCUCUGCAACAUAAUGUCACCCAGGCUUGGAAUCAGAGAGCCAUGGACACCAUUCCACACUAUACCAUUUACUAU
rnacentral:sRNA from 1 species